CGGCCCGCAGCGCCACACUGGAACGCCUCGCUUAAAGUAACAGGCUCCCGGGUGACAACCCCUCGCAGAAGUGUUCUAGAGUUGCUCUUCUACAAAUGCUCCAUCUCCGAUUGUAGUUUGUCUCAGUGGCCACGGGUAGAAUAUCAAGCCAUACGUGAAGCGAAAAAAGAAGAAGAAGAAGAAGAAAGAAAAAAAAAAGAGUUACUAGCUUCCUCUAGAAACACAGACAACCUUUAAAAAGGAAACGGAUAAGAUCUAGACGAUAUACGAAAAUGAAAGAUGGGUGUGACUUUUGUUUCGUUAAAGUUCUUGUACCUCUCUGGCUCUUAACUCCUUUUUUGAACUGGUUUGGGGUGGUGGCUGUUUUCCAGAGUUUAUCUUUUGUUCACCAUCUUUUUUUCUCCAGAUUGCCAACUUCUUUUCUCCCUGUGUUUUUUGUCUCUCUUCCUCUUUCUGACUCAACUUUAUUGCUUUCUUCUUUUCCUCUCGCCGGGAGACCAUGAAAGCACAACUCGGCCCUUGCAUUGAACACUUGAGAAUAACGGGAAGGAGGUUUCCUGGAGCGUCCCAGGUUCUCCAUGACCACGUUCAGUUUUUCCCACUGCUCACAAAGUAGAUGAUGGGGAUUAGACAGGAC
ensembl:antisense Gm12631 predicted gene 12631